UUCAACGAUAUAUCUGGUGCUCUUUUAUGGAAGGAAAAAAGACUAGUUCUUCCUAUUUAUUCACUUUGAGUUAAAGUUUAGAAAAGAAAAGAUGGGCGCAGGUAAUGAAACAAACGACUUUUAAAAGCUACGUAUAGCGGUGGAGAGACAACAGAGAGAACUGUUGACGAGAUGAAGGAUGGAGGAAAAAAUCUAAGAAAGAGAAUUAAACGCACUAAACGUCAACGAAAUCAAGUCUAACGAUUUUUGAUUUUUACCAAACGAUCAGAGCAAGGACUGAGCGACGAACCAAGGUAAAAUUUUUCAUACGAUCCAACAAAACGACGAUGAAAAUAAGAUCCAAUCUUAUACUUUACCCAACGUUUAAACAGGAAACCCAAAAGAUAAAAAGGAUUGGGAGCAAGUAAAGGGUUAAGAGGAGGAAGGGAGAGGACGAGCGAGCGAUAUGUAGAAAGAGAAGAAGAAGUAGAAAUAGGUAUAUCUUGGAGCACCAAACAAUGAUAUCACUUAAUAGUCCCCCGGGUAAGAAAGAAAAAAAAAAAAGCCAACGACAAGUAACAGAUCAAAUAGAUCAACCAGACAAAGUAACAAUUGAGUACAAGUAGGCUAUCAAAUUAACCAACCCUCGGAUCGAACAAGCAACCAAUGAAAGGGAGCGCAACGAGAUCCAGAAGGACGAAUGGAUGAAGAGAAACGAGUUUAAGCAGGAAUAACGUGUGCGCUAAAAAAGCUUAGGCGCAAUGGCGUUAAAGAGGAAAAACACAGGAACAAUGGGGAUAAAAGCUUAAGUGAGUUAACACAAAAAUGCGACGCUGUGGCUAUAACGCAGUGGAGUGAAGAGGAGCGCAGAGGAAGGGUGUGUGAGUACGUAAGUAAAGGGGUAGAGAAAGCGAGCCUUAUAUAUAUAUAUA